UAGAUACUCCCUCCGUCCCAAAAUUCUUGUCUUAGAUUUGUCUAAAUACGGAUGUAUCAAGUCACGUUUAGUAUUAGAUACAUCCAUAUCUAGACUAAUUUAAGAUAAGAAUUUUGGGACGGAGGGAGUAUAUC
rnacentral:pre_miRNA from 1 species